UAAUACGUAGGUGGCAAGCGUUGUCCGGAUUUACUGGGCGUAAAGCGAACGCAGGCGGAUCUUUAAGUAGGAAGUGAAAGGUUGCAGCUCAACUGUAACACUGCUCCCUAUACUGGAGGUCUUGAGUAGCGGAGAGGAAGAGGGAACGACACGUGUAGCGGUGAAAUGCGUUGAUAUGUGUCGGAACACCAAUGGCGAAAGCACUCUUCUGGACGCACACUGACGCUGAGGUUCGAAAGCCAAGGUAGCAAACAGGAUUAGAUACCCUGGUAGUCUUGGCCAUAAACGAUGUUCACUAGGUGUCGGGGCUUCGCCUCGGUGCCGCAGCUAACGCAUUAAGUGAACCGCCUGGGAACUACGAUCGCAAGAUUA
rnacentral:rRNA from 1 species